rnacentral:rRNA from 1 species
GCCCCCCUCAAGAUGAGAUUUCCCAAUUAGUAAGACCCCUUGAAGACGACGAGGUAGAUAGGUUGGGGGUGGAAGUGCAGUAAUGCAUGGAGCUGACCAAUACUAAUCGGUCGAGGGCUUAUCCUAA